GAAGUUGACGGGGCCCGCACAAGCGGUGGAACAUGUGGUUCAAUUCGACGCUACGCGAAGAACCUUACCAAGGCUUGACAUCCCCUGACAGCGUCAGAGACGGCGUUUUCCCUUCGGGGACAGGGAGACAGGUGGUGCAUGGUUGUCGUCAGCUCGUGCCGUGAGGUGUUGGGUUAAGUCCCGCAACGAGCGCAACCCUUAUCCCCAGUUGCCAUCAGGUAAAGCUGGGAACUCUGGGGAGACUGCCGGUGAUAAACCGGAGGAAGGCGGGGAUGACGUCAAGUCCUCAUGGCCCUUACAUCCCGGGCUACACACGUGCUACAAUGGCAGGUACAGAGGGCUGCGAAGCCGCGAGGUGGAGCGAAUCCCAGAAAACCUGUCUCAGUCCGGAUUGAAGUCUGCAACUCGACUUCAUGAAGGCGGAAUCGCUAGUAACCGCGAAUCAGCAGGUCGCGGUGAAUACGUUCCCGGGCCUU
rnacentral:rRNA from 1 species